AGGCUCCUUUAUUUAUAUAAAUAAAUGCUUUGCAAAAGGUAUAAUAUUACUAAUUCUUAUUACAAAACUACGACAAAAAGCUUUGUAGUCGAAGAGGCCAACCGAUUAAACAAAACAUUUUUGUUUUGUUUAAUCUUCACCUACUUGCCGACUGUGUGUAAUGCAUGAAAUGUAUGCUGUCUGUACUUUUAGAGCAAUGAAUGAACAAUAGAAUUAGCUAUCGUUGUUUAGUCUAUUUUAGAUUAACUAUGGGGUAUUUUAAUGAUUGUAUUUUAUAAUCUCGCGAGAUAUUGCUCGAGCCCAAAUCCAGCAAGAUUUGCAUUGUGUAAUGAUUACUCGAACUCGAUUCAACCGGGCAGUUCUACCAAAUAUUAGUUUUUUGGGGUUUACAAAAGAGCUAUAGAAACUUCGUAGACGUUUGCUGACGAACUUUUUGAGUUCAAAUGUCUGGUAAUCCAUGGCAAUGUCGAAUUGUGUUAAUAAUGACAGUUAAAUUAUAGUAACCAUGUUUCUUCUUUAUAUAGCUUCUUUUUGUAGUUGUGAUGAACCAGAACUCAAAUCGAAUAAUAAUGAUGAUACGUUUCCCAGUUCCGACCAAAUUUGGGGUAUGAUAGGAACCAUACUGGCAACAGUCGCUUGUUGGAUUGUGUAUACAAAGGUAAGGAUCGGCAGGAAGAGGUGCCAUAACCAUCACACUAUCAUGCACACCAAACCAAGAACAGGAAACGUACGCAGAGGACACGUCAUGUGAUGUGAUUCAAAUGAUGGUAUAAAAAAUUUAACAAAACUUUAUAGAAAUAUACCUUUAUUCUUAAAAAUAA